AUGGGAAUACCAUAAAUACAUAGCAUACUCGAAGCCGGGGAAAGUCCAUGAUCAGAUUGUUCUAUAUGGGCAACCAACGAACCUCGAUGAUUUCUGUGAGAAGGCGCAACUUGUUAAUUACGUUCAAUACAGAGCCCUCCUCGAGGGUUGGACUUCUCGGAUGUGGACGAAAUACACCGGUGUCUUAAUCUGGAAGACGCAGAACCCCUGGACCGGUCUCCGAGGUCAGUUUUACGAUCAUCUUCAUGACCAAACUGCAGGCUUUUAUGGCUGUCGUAGCGCUGCUGAACCAGUUCAUGUGCAGCUCAAUCUCGCAACUUACUUUAUUGAGGUUGUAAACACG
rnacentral:misc_RNA from 1 species